UCCCGACGCCACCACCGUACUCAACCACUCCCCCUCCUCCUUUUAACCCCAUCUACGUGCCUGGAAACCCUAGCCCUUCUCCCUCCCUCGCGCCGCCACCAGAGCCCCUUCCUUCCCUCAUUUUUCUCUUCUGCUUGCACGUUCGAGCACUACCACACCUUCCCCUCCAUGGUACCACCGUUACCGGCCGCCCCUCGACGAACCGAAGACACCAGGAGAUCCGCCUCGUCGAGCUCUACAUCUUGGUGCAAGGAAUCGAGUCAAUACCCCGUAAUUCGAGCGCAAGGUCGCCGUUUCUCCUCCAUGGCUGCCACACUCCGGCGUCGAUUCCGGCCGCCCUCAUCCUCCUCCGGCGAAACCAAGGACACCUCCGGCUUCCUUGUGUUCUCCCGCAUCCCCGACGCCAAGUCCCCCUUCCCGAUUCGCGUUGAAUCGCCGGAUUGAGUCGCCACUGGAUCUUCCCGCCAUGGCUGCUGCUCUCAAGCUCGUCCCCGCCUCCCACUUCUUCUUAUUCCAGUGCACCAGUAAUCCGACAAGAUCUGAUCCGCAGCCCAGUGAUCCGGUGCCUACUGGGUCUCGGACCGUGUCGCCGCCAGCUUGCUCCCCGCCCAGCGUGCGGCAGGCCCCUGUCCGCUGCUCAGCAUUUGCUUCUUCCCGGAUAGGAUCGCGAAGUGGUGUGGUGAGAUACGACAAGUUCUCCGGAUGUUCCUCGACAAGCUUUAACAGGCAAGCAUUUCCCCUAUACUCCUGUCCCUGCAGGAGUCGCUCACCUAUUUUAUUUUGCCUUCUCCCUCAUGCUAUCCUUAAGUUGCGUUCUUGUCACGUGUCCUUUCCACUUGUUACCUCAAGCAGCCCAUAUUGCCACCACCACCUCCUACGGCUAUUGUUUGU